CUCAGAUUGAACGCUGGCGGCAGGCCUAACACAUGCAAGUCGAGCGGAAACGACAACAUUGACCCUUCGGGUGAUUUGUUGGGCGUCGAGCGGCGGACGGGUGAGUAAUGCCUAGGAAAUUGCCCUGAUGUGGGGGAUAACUAUUGGAAACGAUAGCUAAUACCGCAUAAUGCCUUCGGGCCAAAGAGGGGGACCUUCGGGCCUCUCGCUUCAGGAUAUGCCUAGGUGGGAUUAGCUAGUUGGUGAGGUAAUGGCUCACCAAGGCGACGAUCCCUAGCUGGUCUGAGAGGAUGAUCAGCCACACUGGAACUGAGACACGGUCCAGACUCCUACGGGAGGCAGCAGUGGGGAAUAUUGCACAAUGGGCGAAAGCCUGAUGCAGCCAUGCCGCGUGUAUGAAGAAGGCCUUCGGGUUGUAAAGUACUUUCAGCAGUGAGGAAGGUUCGAUACGUUAAUAGCGUAUGGAUUUGACGUUAGCUG
rnacentral:rRNA from 1 species